GUGAAUCAUCGAAUCUUUGAACGCAAAUUGCGCUUCCUGGCAUCCCGGGAAGUAUGCCUGUUUGAGUGUCAGUAUUAACAAAAAAUCGUUUUUUUUGCAAAUUGUUACGUUUCCGGUGUUUGGGCAUAUCUUAACUUUUUUUGUGAAGGUGCUUAAAAUUGACCUUUUUUGCGCAUUUGUAUACUUACAUAUAUUUUUUUUUAUUCGUCUAUUCUUGAUGCCAAAAUCUUAUUAGAUGCGAUCUCAUCGUGUGGUUGCGUGUCCAUAAAAUUUUCAUGAUUUGA
rnacentral:misc_RNA from 1 species